AUCCAGAUAACAAGUCCCGAAUAAGACGAAACGCGCGUCGUGGAU
rnacentral:hammerhead_ribozyme from 1 species